AGUAGGCAUGCCUGUUCGAGCGUCAUUUCAACCCUUAAGCCUAGCUUAGUGUUGGGAGUCUACGGUAAAACGUAGUUCCUCAAAGACGUUGGCAGAGCUCGGUCGAUCUCUCAGCGUAGUAAUUUUCUCUCGUUGUGGAAGACGGUCGGGCGAUCGCCAGGAAACCUUUAUUCUUUUAAUGGUUGACCUCGGAUCAGGUAGGAAUACCCGCUGAACUUAAGCAUAUCAAUAAGCGGAGGAAAAGAAACCAACAGGGAUUGCCUCAGUAACGGCGAGUGAAGCGGCAACAGCUCAAAUUUGAAAUCUGGCCUAGCCCGAAUUGUAAUUUGCAGAGGAUGCUUUUGGUGAGGUGCCUUCCGAGUUCCCUGGAACGGGACGCCAUAGAGGGUGAGAGCCCCGUACGGUUGGAUGCCGAGCCUCUGUAAAGCUCCUUCGACGAGUCGAGUAGUUUGGGAAUGCUGCUCUAAAUGGGAGGUAAAUUUCUUCUAAAGCUAAAUACCGGCCAGAGACCGAUAGCGCACAAGUAGAGUGAUCGAAAGAUGAAAAGCACUUUGAAAAGAGGGUUAAAUAGCACGUGAAAUUGUUGAAAGGGAAGCGUUUAUGACCAGACAUUACCCGGUAAGGAUUACCCUCCGGGUGAGGCCAACAUCGAUUUUCCCAGGGGGACAAAGGUUGAGGGAACGUAGC
rnacentral:rRNA from 1 species